rnacentral:lncRNA from 1 species
UAAACUAGGGCUUGCACAGAAUCGGACAAGGGACUGACAUUUCUUAUCUAGAUGCCUAAAACAGAAGCAGAUAAGAUAGCGGAUUAGGCCGAAAAGGAGGAAGCGGGGAUGGCACUGGCUCUUUCUAUCUUAAGGCGGUAAGGCGCAGUCGAAACUUGAAGCGUGUGUAACCCGUUCUAAUUCUAAGAGUAAGGGGCUUAGCGCUUUGAUGGUUGACUGCCUCCGCUCGGGGCACCUAUCUUUCUUUAUAUGCCCAUUUUGCAAGAAGAAGGGCUUUCCUUAUUGAAAAGAUUCAAAAU